AUACGGAGGAUGCAAGCGUUAUCCGGAUUUAUUGGGUUUAAAGGGUGCGUAGGCGGUUUGCUAAGCGGGAGGUGAAAUGCCGGCGCUCAACGUCGGAAGUGCCUCCCGAACUGGUGGACUGGAAUGACUCUGCCGUGGGAGGAAUGUGUAGUGUAGCGGUGAAAUGCUUAGAGAUUACACAGAACACCGAUUGCGAAGGCAUCUCACGAAGGGUUGAUUGACGCUGAGGCACGAAAGCGUGGGGAUCAAACAGGAUUAGAUACCCUGGUAGUCCACGCAGUAAACGAUGAUGGCUAACCGCUGGUUUAUUCGGAUCAGUGGCCAAGCGAAAGCGAUAAGUCAUCCACCUGGGGAGUACGACCGCAAGGUUGAAACUCAAAGGAAUUGACGGGG
rnacentral:rRNA from 1 species